rnacentral:rRNA from 1 species
UACAGAGGUCCCAAGCGUUGUUCGGAUUCAUUGGGCGUAAAGGGUGCGUAGGCGGGCGCGGGAAGUCGGGUGUGAAAUCUCGGAAGCUUAAACGUCCGAAACUACGCGAUUCGAUACGUGGCCGUGCUUGAGGACUGGAGGAGGAGACUGGAAUUUACGGUGUAGCGGUGAAAUGCGUAGAAUAUCGUAAGGAAGACCAGUGGCGAAGGCGGGU